AGCAGCCCAGAGCCUGAAUCAGUGUGUGUGUUAGUGGAAGCGUCUGGAAAGGCGUGCGAUACAGGGUGACAGCCCCGUACACAAAAAUGCACAUAUUGUGAGCUUGAUGAGUAGGGCGGGACACGUGGUAUCCUGUCUGAAUAUGGGGGGACCAUCCUCCAAGGCUAAAUACUCCUGACUGACCGAUAGUGAACCAGUACCGUGAGGGAAAGGCGAAAAGAACCCCGGCGAGGGGAGUGAAAAAGAACCUGAAACCGUGUACGUACAAGCAGUGGGAGCACGCUUAGGCGUGUGACUGCGUACCUUUUGUAUAAUGGGUCAGCGACUUAUAUUCUGUAGCAAGGUUAACCGAAUAGGGGAGCCGAAGGGAAACCGAGUCUUAACUGGGCGUUAAGUUGCAGGGUAUAGACCCGAAACCCGGUGAUCUAGCCAUGGGCAGGUUGAAGGUUGGGUAACACUAACUGGAGGACCGAACCGACUAAUGUUGAAAAAUUAGCGGAUGACUUGUGGCUGGGGGUGAAAGGCCAAUCAAACCGGGAGAUAGCUGGUUCUCCCCGAAAGCUAUUUAGGUAGCGCCUCGUGAAUUCAUCUCCGGGGGUAGAGCACUGUUUCGGCA
rnacentral:rRNA from 1 species